UCGAGGGGCAGCGCAGGUAGCAAUACUGGGCGGCGACCGGCAAACGGGUGCGGAACACGUACGUAACCUUCCUUUAAGUGGGAGAUAGCCCGAAGAAAUUCGGAUUAAUACCCCAUAAGAUUGUGGAAUGGCAUCAUUCAGCAAUUAAAGAAAUUCGCUUAAAGAUGGGCGUGCGGCUGAUUAGGUAGUUGGUGAGGUAACGGCUCACCAAGCCAACGAUCAGUAACUGGCGUGAGAGCGCGACCAGUCACACGGGCACUGAGACACGGGCCCGACUCCUACGGGAGGCAGCAGUAAGGAAUAUUGGUCAAUGGACGCAAGUCUGAACCAGCCAUGCCGCGUGAAGGAUGAAGGUCCUCUGGAUUGUAAACUUCUUUUAUAUGGGAAGAAACCACUUUUUUCUAAAGGUGUUGACGGUACCAUAGGAAUAAGCACCGGCUAACUCCGUGCCAGCAGCCGCGGUAAUACGGAGGGUGCAAGCGUUAUCCGGAUUCACUGGGUUUAAAGGGUGCGUAGGCGGAUUAGUAAGUCCGUGGUGAAAUCUCCGAGCUUAACUCGGAAACUGCCGUGGAUACUAUUAAUCUUGAAUACUGUGGAGGUUAGCGGAAUAUGUCAUGUAGCGGUGAAAUGCAUAGAUAUGACAUAGAACACCAAUUGCGAAGGCAGCUGGCUACACAGAGAUUGACGCUGAGGCACGAAAGCGUGGGGAUCAAACAGGAUUAGAUACCCUGGUAGUCCACGCCCUAAACGAUGAUUACUCGACAUUUGCGAUAUACAGUAAGUGUCUGAGCGAAAGCAUUAAGUAAUCCACCUGGGACGUACGACCGCAAGGUUGAAACUCAAAGGAAUUGACGGGG
rnacentral:rRNA from 1 species